rnacentral:rRNA from 1 species
GACGAACGCUGGCGGCGUGCUUAACACAUGCAAGUCGAACGAAAAGGCCCUGCUUUUGUGGGGUGCUCGAGUGGCGAACGGGUGAGUAACACGUGAGUAACCUGCCCUUGACUUUGGGAUAACUUCAGGAAACUGGGGCUAAUACCGGAUAGGAGCUCCUGCUGCAUGGUGGGGGUUGGAAAGUUUCGGCGGUUGGGGAUGGACUCGCGGCUUAUCAGCUUGUUGGUGGGGUAGUGGCUUACCAAGGCUUUGACGGGUAGCCGGCCUGAGAGGGUGACCGGACACAUUGGGACUGAGAUACGGCCCAGACUCCUACGGGAGGCAGCAGUGGGGAAUAUUGCACAAUGGGCGGAAGCCUGAUGCAGCAACGCCGCGUGCGGGAUGACGGCCUUCGGGUUGUAAACCGCUUUCGCCUGUGACGAAGCGUGAGUGACGGUAAUGGGUAAAGAAGCACCGGCUAACUACGUGC